AGUGAACGCUGGCGGUAGGCCUAACACAUGCAAGUCGAACGGCAGCACAGUAAGAGCUUGCUCUUACGGGUGGCGAGUGGUGGAUGGGUGAGGAAUACAUCGGAAUCUACUUUUUCGUGGGGGAUAACGUAUGGAAACUUACGCUAAUACCGCAUACGACCUACGGGUGAAAGCAGGGGAUCUUCGUACCUUGCGCGUUUGAAUGAGCCGAUGUCGGAUUAGAUAGUUGGCGGGGUAAAGGCCCACCACGGCGACGAUCCGUAGCUGGUCUGAGAGGAUGAUCGGCCACCCUGGAACUGGAACACCGACCAGACUCCUACGAGAGGGAGCAGUGGGGAAUAUUGGGCAACGGGCGCAAGCCUGAUCCAGCGAUACCGCGUGGGUGACGGAGGCCUUCGGUUUGUAAAGCCGUUUUGUUGGGAAAGAAAAGCAGCCGGUUAAUACCACGCUGUUCUGACGGUACCCAAAGAAUAAGCACCGGCUAACUACGUG
rnacentral:rRNA from 1 species